AAAAAUUUGAAAAACGGCACAGAAGACUGCUGCUAUCAUUUCACUCUCUCUUGCUUCGGCUCAGUCUCUGUCUCGAAGCGGACACCGUAACGGUUCGCCUUCCCAUUUCGGCGACACCGGAGAUCUUAGCGAAUCAUCGGCGGUUUCUUGAUCUCUAGACCUUUUUCUCCCUGUUUGGCUGUUUCAGUGCUCUGGACUAACUCUCUUUUUUGUUUUCCUGUUUUUUCCAUAUCAAUAAUAUUAUCAUCAAGAGGCAAACAAAAUGAUUGGAUCAUUUCUUACAAGAGGACUUGUGAUGGUUUUUGGCUAUGCUUAUCCUGCUUAUGAGUGCUAUAAGAC
rnacentral:misc_RNA from 1 species